AUUGAACGCUGGCGGCAUGCCUUACACAUGCAAGUCGAACGGUAACAGGUCUUCGGAUGCUGACGAGUGGCGAACGGGUGCGUAAUACAUCGGAACGUGCCCGAUCGUGGGGGAUAGCGAGGCGAAAGCUUUGCUAAUACCGCAUACGAUCUACGGAUGAAAGCGGGGGAUCUUCGGACCUCGCGCGGACGGAGCGGCCGAUGGCAGAUUAGGUAGUUGGUGGGAUAAAAGCUUACCAAGCCGACGAUCUGUAGCUGGUCUGAGAGGAUGAUCAGCCACACUGGGACUGAGACACGGCCCAGACUCCUACGGGAGGCAGCAGUGGGGAAUUUUGGACAAUGGGCGAAAGCCUGAUCCAGCCAUGCCGCGUGCAGGAUGAAGGCCUUUGGGUUGUAAACUGCUUUUGUACGGAACGAAAAGCCUCUUUCUAAUAAAGAGGGGUCAUGACGGUACCGUAAGAAUAAGCACCGGCUAACUACGUG
rnacentral:rRNA from 1 species